GUGUUCUCACUUCAGGAGCACAUGUAUUAAAACUGGAACCACACAUAGAUUAGCAUGGCUCCUGAUUGAGGAUGACAUGCAAAUUCAUGAAACAUUCUGUAUUUUU